rnacentral:rRNA from 1 species
UACGUAGGUGGCAAGCGUUGUCCGGAUUUAUUGGGUUUAAAGGGUGCGUAGGCGGCCCCGUAAGUCAGUGCUGAAAUAUCCCGGCUUAACCGGGAGGGUGGCAUUGAUACUGCGAGGCUUGAGUAAAGUUGAGGUAGGCGGAAUUGACGGUGUAGCGGUGAAAUGCGUAGAUAUCGGGAGGAACACCAGUGGCGAAAGCGGCCGGCUGGGCCUGUACUGACGCUGAGGCGCGAAAGCGUGGGGAGCGAACCGG